GAUGAACGCUGGCGGCGUGCCUAAUACAUGCAAGUCGAGCGAACAGAUGAGAAGCUUGCUUCUCUGAUGUUAGCGGCGGACGGGUGAGUAACACGUGGGUAACCUACCUAUAAGACUGGGAUAACUCCGGGAAACCGGGGCUAAUACCGGAUAAUAUUUUGAACCGCAUGGUUCAAUAGUGAAAGACGGUUUCGGCUGUCACUUAUAGAUGGACCCGCGCCGUAUUAGCUAGUUGGUAAGGUAACGGCUUACCAAGGCGACGAUACGUAGCCGACCUGAGAGGGUGAUCGGCCACACUGGAACUGAGACACGGUCCAGACUCCUACGGGAGGCAGCAGUAGGGAAUCUUCCGCAAUGGGCGAAAGCCUGACGGAGCAACGCCGCGUGAGUGAUGAAGGUCUUCGGAUCGUAAAACUCGGUUGUUAGGGAAGAACAAAUUUGUUAGUAACUGAACAAGUCUUGACGGUACCUAACCAGAAAGCUACGGCUAACUACGUGCCAGCCGCCGCAGUAA
rnacentral:rRNA from 1 species